UACGUAGGGUGCGAGCGUUGUCCGGAAUCAUUGGGCGUAAAGAGCGUGUAGGCGGCUCGGUAAGUCCACUGUGAAAGUCCAGGGCUCAACCCUGGAAUGCCGGUGGAUACUGCCGGGCUAGAGUCCGGAAGAGGCGAGUGGAAUUCCUGGUGUAGCGGUGAAAUGCGCAGAUAUCAGGAGGAACACCGAUGGCGAAGGCAGCUCGCUGGGACGGUACUGACGCUGAGACGCGAAAGCGUGGGGAGCAAACAGG
rnacentral:rRNA from 1 species